CCUACGGGAGGCAGCAGUGGGGAAUAUUGCGCAAUGGGCGAAAGCCUGACGCAGCGACGCCGCGUGAGGGAUGACGGCCUUCGGGUUGUAAACCUCUUUCAGUAGGGACGAAGCGAAAGUGACGGUACCUACAGAAGAAGCACCGGCCAACUACGUGCCAGCAGCCGCGGUAAUACGUAGGGUGCAAGCGUUGUCCGGAAUUAUUGGGCGUAAAGAGCUCGUAGGCGGUCUGUCGCGUCGGCUGUGAAAACCCGAGGCUCAACCUCGGGCCUGCAGUCGAUACGGGCAAACUAGAGUACUGCAGGGGAGACUGGAAUUCCUGGUGUAGCGGUGAAAUGCGCAGAUAUCAGGAGGAACACCGGUGGCGAAGGCGGGUCUCUGGGCAGUAACUGACGCUGAGGAGCGAAAGCGUGGGGAGCGAACAGGAUUAGAUACCCUGGUAGUCCACGCCGUAAACGUUGGGCGCUAGGUGUGGGGGCCAUUCCACGGUCUCCGUGCCGCAGCUAACGCAUUAAGCGCCCCGCCUGGGGAGUACGGCCGCAAGGCUAAAACUCAAAGGAAUUGACGGGGGCCCGCACAAGCGGCGGAGCAUGUUGCUUAAUUCGAUGCAACGCGAAGAACCUUAC
rnacentral:rRNA from 1 species